GCAACCCUCUUGCCUCAGCCUUCUCAGUGCUGGAUUACAGGUUGGGCAUCAACAGGGACAUAGCUGGAAGAUGGAUCUUCAUCUAAGACCAGAGAAAUAAAAGUGAUGACAGGAAGGGAUGGAAGGCAUCAAGCAAAGUCAGUAUAUAGUACUGAGCUUUGAAUCCAGGAAACAACACCAGGACUCCUCAGGUCAGCACUCUGAGAGAACACUUGAGCCUGGCCGUUCACCUGGAGCUGUGUGUCCAGCGAUUAGCUCUGUACAUAGCCUGCACAGAUGGCCUGCUUUUCCUCUUCCUGUGCUUAAUUCUCACUGAAGCCAGAGUGGUAAAUGCCCAUGAGGAUUCCAUGGAGGUCUGUUCAGAGCCAGCAGUGCAGCAGAGACCAGGCACCCAGGUUUUCACCUUCUCCUCAUUGUUCAGCAACAGCAAGCGGACUUGCUCGUCUGAGUAGAAGAGGAAAGUCUGCCGAGAGGGACAGAAAGCGGGUGACGGUGGAGAAGAAACCCUUGGAAGAGGUUUCCCCGUCUGUACUUUUCAGCAAUGAUUAUUCAGGGACACAGCCAGCUGCAGCCCGCAGCUGCGCUCCCAGCUGUGCCGAGCAUAGUGGGCGGAUGCGAUGCGUUUGUCAAGUGCUGCGGCAGCGUCCUGCGCCCGCAAACACAGCGAGGAGGGCAUGUUUGCUAUUGCUGCUGGUACACUGGGCCUUUAAGGAACUGGCUUUCUGGGCAAGUUUCAGAAAGUCUAAUACUUUUCCAGCAUUAGGAAGAUCAAGUCAACUGAGGUACACAAAACGGAGACUGCCACCACACGGUUCAGAUGAGUUUUGUGAGACUGUUAUUAUUAUUUCUUUUCUUAAGCCCCACAACUUUAAAGCUCAAUCGCUCUUACUUUCAUAAAUGUCGUAGGCGAUAUUUUUUAUUGUUUACUAUAUUCUAAAAUCGAGACAGUAGCUGAGUGUGGUGGCACAUGCCUAUAAUCUCAGCACUUGGGAGGC